GACGAACGCUGGCGGCGUGCUUAACACAUGCAAGUCGAACGGAAAGGCCCUGCUUUUGUGGGGUGCUCGAGUGGCGAACGGGUGAGUAACACGUGAGUAACCUGCCCUUGACUUUGUGAUAACUUCACGAAACUGGGGCUAAUACCGGAUAGGAGCUCCUGCUGCAUGGUGGGGGUUGGAAAGUUUCGGCGGUUGGGGAUGGAUUCGCGGCUUAUCAGCUUGUUGGUGUGGUAGUGGCUUACCAAGGCUUUGACGGGUAGCCGGCCUGAGAGGGUGACCGGCGACAUUGGGCCUGAGAUACGGCGCAGACGCGUACGGGAGGCAGCAGUGGGGAAUAUUGCGCAGUGGGCGGGAGCCUGAGGCAGCGACGCUGGGUGCGGGAUGACGUCCUUCGGGUGGUAAACCGCUUUGGCCGGUGACGAAGCGUGAGUGACGGUAAUGGGUAAAGAAGCACCGGCUAACUACGUG
rnacentral:rRNA from 1 species